AUGUUUAACAUAAUUUAUAAAAUAAUUAUUAUUCCUUUAUUUAUAUGGGCAUGGAGUCAUAAUAACAAGGCCUACUUAAAAAAUAUAUGGGACACUAAACAUGGUAGAUCAUUAGCUCGAUGUUAUAUCCCCCCAACCGAACAGAAUCAUAAUUUACAUUUAAAAAAAAGAAGUGACAAAUACAACUCUUCUAAGCAUUCUAAGCAAUGUAUGAUUAAGGAUCAAGAUUCAGAUGACGAAGAUUUCGAAAUUGAUGAAUUUACAUAUACCAGAACAACUUAUUUAAUUGAUGUUAAAAAUGAAUUAGUUAAAAAAAUAGAUAGCCCACUUAAAUCUCUAAUAAACAAAUCACUAAAAAAAAACCAAAACAUACAAGAUAAAGAUGUAUUACAAAUAUAUGAUCUUAUUAAACGUAACAUUGCAAGUGAAGACUAUUUACAAAUUGUUAUUGAAAGUUGUAAUAUAUUGAAAAAUGACUAUCCUGAAAAUAAUGAAAAUGCUGAUAUGUAUUACGACUCAACGUUAUACUUUUUGAACAAAUAUUUCUAUCUUUCCAGCACUAAAAAAGAUUUUAAAAAACGCCUUAACCAUUUACAAUAUAAUGGUCAAAAUCAAAUUAUAUCUAAAAAAGAUAAAUUCGAAUUAAAAAUGAAACAUUUUAAUAUAUUUAGACUGUAUAAUAAAAUAGAUAAAGAAAUGAGGAUUCGGUUAUUUAAACUAAUACUAAGCGGUGAACUUGGUGUACCUGCAAACAAAUCAUUCAAAAAUAUGGCUCCGCUUAUUGGCUAUAUACUCCUUAACCCAAUCUUAGUAUUUGUAGCCUUAAUUUUUGUCAUAAUAAUUGGGCAACCUGAAUGUGUUGUACCAUUAUUUGGAGUGUUCCUAUUAACAUACGCACGAUCUAUUUAUAAAAUUCAUAAAGACGUUAAAGCUAUAAAAAAAAUUAUACAAGGGGAAAAACUAUCAAACAAAACUAAUUUUAGUUAACAAUACGUACCAUAAAAAAGUUAUAAUACAAUAAAAUAAUUAUUCCAUAAUAAUUUCA
ensembl:lncRNA